CGUCUAUAUACGUAUAGCAUAUCAAUAAGCGGAGGAAAAGAAACUAACAAGGAUUCCCUUAGUAACGGCGAGUGAAGCGGGAAGAGCUCAAAUUUGAAAUCUUCAAGGUUCUACCUUGACGAAUUGUAGUUUAUAGAAGUGUUUUCUGUUAGUAGAGUGGCAAAAGUUCUUUGGAAUAGGACAUCAUAGAGGGUGAGAAUCCCGUAUUUGGUCAUUCUUUCUAGCUUUGUGAUACACUUUCAACGAGUCGGAUUGUUUGGGAAUGCAGUCCAAAAUGGGUGGUAAAUUUCAUCUAAAGCUAAAUAUUGGCGAGAGACCGAUAGCGAACAAGUACCGUGAGGGAAAGAUGAAAAGAACUUUGAAAAGAGAGUUAAACAGUACGUGAAAUUGUCAAAAGGGAAGCGUUUGACACCAGUGUUGUUUAGUUGAAAAUCAAUUCAAUAGUUUUUGAUUCUAAGUAGUAUUGACUUCAUCAGCUUGCUGCUUUCUUCUCAGAAAUUAUUGAAUGCACUUUUCAGUUAACAAGUCAACAUCAAUUUCUUUUGUUGUAAAAGGGUAAAAGGAAGGUGGCUUGCGCUUCGGCUCAAGUGUUUAUAGCCUUUUAUCUCUGCAAUCGGAGAGAUUGAGGUCUGCAGCGUAGAUCCUUCGGGGUUAGAUACAUUGGUGCUAAGCUAUAGCCUUGUAUAGACAACUUGUUGACUAUGCUCAGUCAUGUAGCUUACUCGCUGAUGCUAUUUUACCUACGCUUAGGAUGUUGA
rnacentral:rRNA from 1 species